UACAGAGGGCUCAAGCGUUGUUCGGAUUCAUUGGGCGUAAAGGGUGCGUAGGCGGCGCGGUAAGUCGGGUGUGAAAUCUCGGAGCUUAACUCCGAAACUGCAUUCGAUACUGCCGUGCUUGAGGACUGGAGAGGAGACUGGAAUUUACGGUGUAGCGGUGAAAUGCGUAGAUAUCGGAAGGAAGACCAGUGGCGAAGGCGGGUCUCUGGACAGGUCCUGACGCUGAGGCACGAAGGUCAGGGGAGCAAACAGG
rnacentral:rRNA from 1 species